ACUUGUGCUCUCCCGAUUAGCCAGAACGAAUUGGAUGUCAACCAAUCACCGAGCGACAGCACGACCUGACGCGAAAAAGGCCCACCCAGACCUAAACCCGGAACUGCUGCAGCUUAAAAACCCCACCCCACACCUGGGUGCGACUUCCCUGAC